rnacentral:rRNA from 1 species
CCUACGGGUGGCAGCAGUGAGGAAUAUUGGUCAAUGGGCGCGAGCCUGAACCAGCCAAGUCGCGUGAGGGAAGACGGCCCUACGGGAUGUAAACCUCUUUUGCCGGGGAGCAACGGGCGCCACGUGUGGCUCCACUGAGAGUACCCGAAGAAAAAGCAUCGGCUAACUCCGUGCCAGCAGCCGCGGUAAUACGGAGGAUGCGAGCGGUAUCCGGAUUGAUUGGGUUUAAAGGGUGCGUAAGCAGAGCGUUAAGUCAGUGGUCAAAUUGAGGGGCUCAACCCCUUCCCGCCAUUGAAACUGGCGCUCUUGAGUGGAAGAGAAGUAUGCGGAAUGCGUGGUGUAGCGGUGAAAUGCAUAGAUAUCACGCAGAACCCCGAUUGAGAAGGCAGCAUGCCGGCUUCCUACUGACGCUGAAGCACGAAAGCGUGGGGAUCGAACAGGAUUAGAUACCCCUGUAGUC